rnacentral:misc_RNA from 1 species
ACAUUUGGUCCAAUGCAGACCUCAGAUGAUCAGUCUCAAAUGACUGCAGCAGGAGGCAAUGGAGGAUUUAUCAACCAGUUUUUCAAUACAAAUAGUGGGGUUAUUGAGAGCUCAGCGGCAAAUGAUAUGGCCAUGUUUAAUGAGGUUUUCGACCAAAACAGUGCGUUAUUCAAGAACAUUGAGCAGGGAAGCAGCAAUAAUAAGAACUUUUUUCAUGGUGUAAAUUCAAAUCAUCCUAGUGGAGCUAAUAAUCCAAGUGGGUUAACAAGUUUUAGUGGGGAUGUGAUGACUGUUGAUUUCUUAGGA